UUAUGGGGGUUGUGCUAUGAUAUUUUCUCUCUGAUUUCUCCUACCACGAAUCUUCAUUUCUGCUCUUCCUGAUUCGGCAGUUGUGUUCGUGGUUAGUGCUUGAUUCCGUGAUUUAAUCUAGGCUAUAGUGGUCACAAUUCACCCUUUCUGAUCCAACUGCCCUCGCUAUCUGCAGCUCGUGUUUGCCAUUCACCCUCCCCCUGCCCCAUCUGCCCUUGCUAUCUGUCGCUCGCACCCAGAUAAAUUUUUUUGAGUUCAUCACUAUGGCCUGCCAAGGUUCUUCAUCCAUAAAGAGUGACAAGUGUCCAUUUCAUGAUUAUUGUGAUGAUGAAGUUAUUGGUGACUGUAAUAUUGGCGAUUGUGAGCUUGAUGAAGCCCUCUUUGAGUUCUUUAAGAAAAAGAAAAUUCAGGAACUAAAGAGUAGCCUUAGUUUAUCUGAGUUGAAUGAUAUUAGGAAAGGGAAGGGUGAUCUGGGUACUCAUAAGCAUGAAGUGAACCAUGGUUUCAAUCGUGUGUCUGCAAAGUAUUUCAGCGAAGUCAUCAAUGCAUUGAGUGUUAAGCAGAGAAAGGUCAUAUCUGACUACGGUUUUGGUAGCUUACUUAUGUAUGACAAAUGUGUUGUUCCAGCAAGAUUUAUCAAGUGGCUAGCCUAACAUGUGGAUGUUUGCACAUCCGAGAUAACUGUCAAUGGUAAAUUCAUACCUUUUAACAAGAUGUCGGUCCACAAAGUGCUGGGGAUCCCUAUUGGUGGUGAUUCAUUGAGUGUUGAUCGUGAAGUUGGCAAGACAUUUAUUUUAUCAAGGUUCAAUCUGUCCACUCUACCGCCUAUCAGAUUUUUUGGUGACAAGAUAAAGAACAAGCAACUCUUGGCUGAUGAUGAUAUGUUUAUUUGUUUCAUGAUCGUUGCUUUAUCAUUCUUCCUUUGUCCCAAUUCUAACACUUAUCCAAGCACAAAAUAUAUGAUAGCAUUCAAAGAUUUGAGCUGUGUUGGAAAUAUUGACUGGUCCUUGUACAUUUAUGAAUGGUUGAUUGAUGCUGUUCGUAAAUUGUGCAUGGGUGUUGGGAAGUCUUUCAGACCUAUCCAUACUCUUGAUGGCUGCUCAUAUGUGCUUGCUGUACUAUAUUUGGAUUGUCUCAAUUUUGGAAUUUUUGAUGUUCCUCGAGUGACUCCAAGAAUCUCAGUAUGAAAAGGGUCUAUGAUCAAGUAUUAUUCUGAUUUAGUCAUUUAGAUGAGUUGAAUGUCAAUCAAUAUGGUAAAAGGUGUUUUCGAGAUAAUAUUGACACCCUAUAUUGUGAGAUAUUUGAUGGGGAUGAUAAUACUUCUGACACAUGGAAUAUACCCCAUCAGCUUCUGGUUUUAAAUCAAAACUUCAGUGCUUAUUUGAAAGUAUGUUGAAUAUACAGUUAAUUAAUGGAAUUUGUGGCAUAUAUGAUGUUGAUUGCACUAAGAUCCCAAGAAGACAGCAAAAACAUUCGGAGAAAUUAAUAUUUCGGUUGCUGAAAUUAUUUGAUGAGUUUAAUUCAAAUCCAACUAUUUUUGUGGUGAAGUUAUUGGUGAAGAUAUUGGCCAUGCAAAUUAUUUGAUGAGCAUAUAUUUGCUGAAGAUAUUGGUGGUUGCAACUUGAAGUUCUCUCUUGGUGACUCCAUGGCUCCUCAUCACAAAGUAUGCACUUUUGUGGUGAACUGUAUUUGCCGAAAAUUCUUUCUGGAUGAAUGACCAACUGUUUCUUUGAAGUAUUAUUUCUUUUCAUGUGUCUAUGUUGUUUUCAUGAGUGAUUCUGAUGACUAUUCAUAUGUAGAAAGGUGCUUUAACGGAGCUGCUUUUGUAUUACCUUUGCCUUUGUGUGAAAUGUUGUUUUUCCCAGUGUUAUAUGGUGAGCAUUGGUUCUUUUUUGUUGUUGAUUUGAAGAGGAAGCUGUUUCUUUUUCUGGAUUCUUAUUUCUCCAAGGAUGAACAAUAUUCAAUUUAUACAAGAAGGAAGCUUAUGUGAUUGUUGUGUGUUUCUUAUCAAAUUUAUGGAGCUAUGGCAUCCUGGAGCUAAUCUACGUGAAAACUUUUCAUCAGAAGAUAUACCAAAUAUUCGAAUUCAGAUUGUUAAUGAUCUUCUAACUAGUGUCCAUAUCAAAGCAAAUACAGAUGUUGUUACAAAAUUUGCAUAGCCAGGGUGAUCUUUCACACAUCAAGAAGUACAAUCAAAGCAACCUUCCAGUUUGCAGGAGUUAUUUUCUCAUUUUUCGUAAAGCAAAACAUGAAUUUAGCUACUAGUUUUGUUAGUGUCAUCAUGACACAUGCGACGAACCAAAAAACAUCAUGUACUUUGUUCUAGUGGCUCACUCUGUCACGAUUACAUAUACUUAGAUAUAUAAAUAUAUAGCAACUAUCUCUGUGCUUUUA